GUUUGACCUGCGGAAGGAUCAUUGUCGAUGCCCUCGAAAAAGAGAGACCCGCGAACCGGUUCAAGCAGAGACCCCCGGCAACCGAAUCACCGGCGCCCCAGGCGCCAAGGAGGACAGGGAAUGGCGCCAGCCCGCGGGCGCGUGCCCCACACAUCUUGGCAUACGAACGACUCUCGGCAACGGAUAUCUCGGCUCUCGCAUCGAUGAAGAACGUAGCGAAAUGCGAUACUUGGUGUGAAUUGCAGAAUCCCGUGAACCAUCGAGUCUUUGAACGCAAGUUGCGCCCAAAGCCUUCGGGCCAAGGGCACGCCUGCCUGGGUGUCACGCAGCGUCGCCUCCGCCCCCUCCGGGGACAUCGACGGUGGACGAUGGCCUCCCGCGAGCCCAGCCUCCCUGUUGGCCGAAAGAGGGGCCCGACGCGACUGCGGCCGCGAUCCCACGAGGAUCGCCCGGCCCCCGCGGCCGUCCACCAGUACGCCACCCCAGGUCAGGCGGGGCCACCCGCUGACUUUAAGCAUAUCAAUAAACCCGGAAGGAAAAAUC
rnacentral:rRNA from 1 species